rnacentral:misc_RNA from 1 species
AUUAAGGAGCGUGAAUAGCCACUCACAUUGAACUCUAAUCAAACAACCAGACAAACUCCUGAAUCUAAUCUACCAACCAUAUCACGUUUCAGCAGAACAAAAUAUGAACAUAAGCUUACAUUUUCAUCAAGAGGCGCCCAUAUAUGGAGGCAGCAUAGAGCACCUUGAUGAAAAUUUCGUAGCAGGCCAACUAAAAAUCCAAUUCAAUUGGACUAUCUUGCAGUAAAUGACACGCAGGUGCUCAUUAAGCGGCAUGUUAUCAAUCUGGGUAGGGCAGCUAGUUGCAGUCUGCUACUCCCCCAUAAAGUUGUUGAAUCUGAUAAGAGUAUCUGCAGAUUGGGCAAUGACUGCAUUUAGCAUUUUUAACUUGGGCCAAGGACUUCCCAAGUAACAUCUAUGACCAUUUGACAUGAUAACUGGGAGCAGAAUUGCAGAAAUGCUAGCCAUCUGCAUAACCAGCAGCGAAAACAACA